rnacentral:rRNA from 1 species
AUUGAACGCUGGCGGCAUGCCUUACACAUGCAAGUCGAACGGCAGCAUGGAGAGCUUGCUCUCUGAUGGCGAGUGGCGAACGGGUGAGUAAUGCAUCGGAACGUACCGUGUAAUGGGGGAUAACGUAGCGAAAGUUACGCUAAUACCGCAUACGACCUGAGAGUGAAAGCAGGGGAUCGCAAGACCUUGCGUUAUACGAGCGGCUGAUGUGAGAUUAGCUAGUUGGUGAGGUAAAGGCUCACCAAGGCGACGAUCUGUAGCGGGUCUGAGAGGAUGAGCCGCCACACUGGGACUGAGACACGGCCCAGACUCCUACGGGAGGCAGCAGUGGGGAAUUUUGGAAAAUGGGGGCAACCCUGAUCCAGCCAUGCCGCGUGAGUGAAGAAGGCCUUCGGGUUGUAAAGCUCUUUCGGCCGGGAAGAAAUCGCACAGGCUAAUACUCUGUGUGGAUGACGGUACCGGCAUAAGAAGCACCGGCUAACUACGUGCCAGCCGCCGCCGUAAAAC